rnacentral:rRNA from 1 species
CCUACGGGAGGCAGCAGUGGGGAAUUUUGGACAAUGGCCGAAAGGGUGAUCCAGCGACGCCGCGUGGGUGAUGACAGACUUUAAGUUUGUAAAACCCUAUCGAGUGGGAAGAAUUUCGUUUUUGCGAAAUGACGGUACUACUAAAUGAAGCCCCGGCUAAUUCCGUGCCAGCAGCCGCGGUAAUACGGAAGGGGCAAGCGUUACCCGGAUUUACUGGGUGUAAAGGGUCCGCAGGCGGUUAGGUGUGUCAGUUUUGAAAUCCUUUGGCUCAACCAGAGAAUUGGAACUGAUACUACCUGACUUUGAGUCUAGAUGGGGGAAAUGGAACUGCCAGUGUAGCGGUGGAAUGCGUAGAUAUUGGCAGGAACACCUGUGGCGAAGGCGAUUUCCUAAUCUGGAACUGACGCUCAGGGACGAAAGUGUGGGGAGCGAACGGGAUUAGAUACCCCUGUAGUC